rnacentral:rRNA from 1 species
GAUGAACGCUGGCGGCGUGCCUAAUACAUGCAAGUCGAGCGAACUGAUUAGAAGCUUGCUUCUAUGACGUUAGCGGCGGACGGGUGAGUAACACGUGGGCAACCUGCCUGUAAGACUGGGAUAACUUCGGGAAACCGAAGCUAAUACCGGGUAGGAUCUUCUCCUUCAUGGGAGAUGAUUGAAAGAUGGUUUCGGCUAUCACUUACAGCUGGGCCCGCGGUGCAUUAGCUAGUUGGUGAGGUAACGGCUCACCAAGGCAACGAUGCAUAGCCGACCUGAGAGGGUGAUCGGCAACACUGGGACUGAGACACGGCCCAGACUCCUACGGGAGGCAGCAGUAGGGAAUCUUCCGCAAUGGACGAAAGUCUGACGGAGCAACGCCGCGUGAGUGAUGAAGGCUUUCGGGUCGUAAAACUCUGUUGUUAGGGAAGAACAAGUACGAGAGUAACUGCUCGUACCUUGACGGUACCUAACCAGAAAGCCACGGCUAACUACGUGCCAGCCGCCGCCGUAAAAC